rnacentral:rRNA from 1 species
UUAUUAUGGAGAGUUUGAUCCUGGCUCAGGACGAACGCUGGCGGCGUGCUUAACACAUGCAAGUCGAACGGAAAUCAGGGAGCUUGCUCCCUGUGAUUAGUGGCGAACGGGUGAGUAACACGUGAGCAACCUGCCCCUAACUUUGGGAUAACUUCGGGAAACCGGGGCUAAUACCAAAUACGACCCAUGAGGGCAUCCUCUGUGGGUGGAAAGAAUUUCGGUUGGGGAUGGGCUCGCGGCCUAUCAGCUUGUUGGUGGGGUAACGGCCUACCAAGGCAUCGACGGGUAGCCGGCCUGAGAGGGUGAUCGGCCACACUGGGACUGAGACACGGCCCAGACUCCUACGGGAGGCAGCAGUGGGGAAUAUUGCACAAUGGGCGCAAGCCUGAUGCAGCAACGCCGCGUGGGGGAAGAAGGCCUUCGGGUUGUAAACCUCUUUUGGCAGGGAAGAAGCGAAAGUGACGGUACCUGCAGAAAAAGCGCCGGCUAACUACGUGCCAGCAGCCGCGGUAAUACGUAGGGCGCGAGCGUUGUCCGGAAUUAUUGGGCGUAAAGAGCUCGUAGGCGGUUUGUCACGUCUGCCGUGAAAAUCCGAGGCUCAACCUCGGACCUGCGGUGGGUACGGGCAGGCUAGAGUGCGAUAGGGGAGAGCGGAAUUCCUGGUGUAGCGGUGAAAUGCGCAGAUAUCAGGAGGAACACCGAUGGCGAAGGCAGCUCUCUGGGUCGCUACUGACGCUGAGGAGCGAAAGCGUGGGGAGCGAACAGGAUUAGAUACCCUGGUAGUCCACGCCGUAAACGUUGGGCGCUAGACGUGGGGGUGGUUCCACCGCUUCCGUGUCGCAGCUAACGCAUUAAGCGCCCCGCCUGGGGAGUACGGCCGCAAGGCUAAAACUCAAGGGAAUUGACGGGGGCCCGCACAAGCGGCGGAGCAUGCGGAUUAAUUCAAUGCAACGCGAAGAACCUUACCAAGGCUUGAUAUAUACCGGAAAGGCGUAGAGAUACGCCCCCCGCAAGGUCGGUAUACAGGUGGUGCACGGUUGUCGUCAGCUCGUGUCGUGAGAUGUUGGGUUAAGUCCCGCAACGAGCGCAACCCUCGUCCUGUGUUGCCAGCGCGUAAUGGCGGGGACUCACAGGAGACUGCCGGGGUCAACUCGGAGGAAGGUGGGGAUGACGUCAAAUCAUCAUGCCCUUCGGUCUUGGGCUUCACGCGUGCUACAAUGGCUGGUACAGAGGGUUGCAAUAUCGCAAGGUGGAGCGAAUCUCAAAAAGCCAGUCUCAGUUCGGAUUGGGGUCUGCAACUCGACCCCAUGAAGUCGGAGUCGCUAGUAAUCGCAGAUCAGCAAUGCUGCGGUGAAUACGUUCCCGGGCCUUGUACACACCGCCCGUCAAGUCAUGAAAGCUGGUAACACCCGAAGCCGGUGACUUAACCUUUUUUGGAGAGAGCCGUCGAAGGUGGGAUUGGUGAUUGGGACUAAGUCGUAACAAGGUAGCCGUACCGGAAGGUGCGGCUGGAUCACCUCCUUUCU